rnacentral:lncRNA from 1 species
CUUUUACAAGGACUGUAUCAGUUUUUGGCCAUCAGACACUGACAUGUAGUGUAACUACUUGGUAAGUCAGAACUGUAUCGAGGCGUUCUGCCUCACUGCUGAAAGGAGCCUACGGUUCCCCAUGGCGUGAACAGAUAUUAAGGGCCAGAUUCAUGCUAGGGCUUGGUGCAGGGAGUGAAGGGAUGCAGCUUGCAUGGCACCCCCACUGUACCUCUGCUGCUGCAAUUUGACCCCCCUGUGCAGAUGGGAGAAUUGGAUGGUAGAAGAGAAGAGAGAAGGCUAGAGGAGUGUGCUGUUGCAUAGUGACGAACUUGUUCUAAUGAGGGAACCUGUGAUAAAGUGUGAUAGGCAGUGAUAAUGAUGGAAGUCCAGGAUUCUACACCAAAGUGAUAAACUUCAUUCUGGCCUUCCUUGUGCCCAGUUGUCUUCAGCUGGAUAUGAGCUCUAGCCUGGAGCUAUUUACACCAUGAUCAGGCUAGUAAUUAGCAAAAUGUUUAAUAUAAUAUAGAAGCAAUUAGGAGGUGAUAACAUGCAAUUAAGAUGUGUUUUCAGAUUAAAGAUUUUAUAGUGCUCUCUUUCUUGAAAAGAUAAAGUGCCUAUCUCAAAAUGUCAAACUGCAGUGAUUUAAUCUGA